ensembl:lncRNA
CUCAAGCACUGUGGGGAAGUAUUGGUACUAGGUGAUCUUACAGGUCUUUUCCAACCUUUGUGAUUCUACAGCUCUAUGAUUCUAAAUCUUUCCUUGGCUCUGAGAUGCUUGGUGGAAAUAUCCAUCCUGGAUUGGACAGACUGGUUAUUUAGCAAUGUCGGGCACUGCAGUUGGACAGCCCAGGCUGGCCUCUCCCCCACCCCCUGCUUUUCAGGAAGAUGAUGCAGUUUUUUUGUGGUUCUCCAGUGCGUGACUCUGCAAAUGCUGUCUGCUCUCUGCCUGGAGCCAGGUGGCUUCUUCCCACCCCUGACAAAUGGCAGCAGAAAGAAGAAAGGCUAUCUCAGGCCAGGGGCCUCCUGUGCUGCUGUGCUUCUCCAGUCCCUUUCCUUUAUAAUAUAACUAGUGUGAGGAUGAGGAAGAGAUGGUGUAAAGUCUUCUGAGGGAACUUUUCUGAUAGAUGCGAUUCUGGCUUCAGCCACUAGCAGCUUCCUGUGCUGCAGACAAGGGGAAUCUAUUCAUUUUAUAGAAUCACAGAGUCAUUAAAGUUGGAAAAGACCACUAAGAUCACCUAGUUCAACCACCAACCCAUCCCCACCAUGCCCACUAAGCACGGCCCUCUCCCACCUCCCUGUAUCUUGAACACCUCUAAGGGACGGUGACUCCACCACCUCACCAUGCAGCCUGUGCCAGUGCAUUACCACACUUCUGGAGAAUAAUUUUUUUCUAAUAUCCAACUUGUAUCUCCCCUGGUGCAACUUGAGGCUGUUACCUCUUGUCCUAUCACUGUAACGUGAGAGGACAACUCCCACCUCACCACAGCCUCCUUUCAAGUAGUUCUCAGAGUGCAGCCACGGCGCGAGGUGGCCACAAGGUGUCACCCGCUGCCUGCUGCUAAAGAAAGACCCGAAAAUGCAAAGAAACCCCAAAACCCAAAAAACAAAACAAAAACAAACAAACAAAGAAAACCCCACUAAAACCAAAAAACCCUAAAACCAUAAAAAUUCAUAAAGCCCACCCAGUUCCUACCCCCUGCCAUGGGCUGGUUGCUCCCCACACCAGCUCAGGCUGCCCAGGGCCCAUCCAACCUGGCCUUGAGCACCUCCAGGGAUGGGGCACCACAGCUCUAUGGGCAGCUGUGCCAGGGCCUCUGCUCUUUGAGUAAGGAGUUACUUUAUAGCCAAAGUCUCCCCUCUUUUCUAGUCUGGUAUUACUAUCAGACUGUAAAAAGCAGGCCUCC